CCUACGGGUGGCAGCAGUGGGGAAUAUUGGACAAUGGGGGGAACCCUGAUCCAGCCAUGCCGCGUGCGUGAAGAAGGCCCUCGGGUUGUAAAGCACUUUCAGUGAGGAAGAACGCCUGGUGGUUAAUACCCAUCAGGAAAGACAUCACUCACAGAAGAAGCACCGGCUAACUCCGUGCCAGCAGCCGCGGUAAUACGGAGGGUGCGAGCGUUAAUCGGAAUUACUGGGCGUAAAGCGCGCGUAGGUGGCUUGAUAAGCCGGUUGUGAAAGCCCCGGGCUCAACCUGGGAACGGCAUCCGGAACUGUCAAGCUAGAGUGCAGGAGAGGAAGGUAGAAUUCCCGGUGUAGCGGUGAAAUGCGUAGAGAUCGGGAGGAAUACCAGUGGCGAAGGCGGCCUUCUGGACUGACACUGACACUGAGGUGCGAAAGCGUGGGUAGCAAACAGGAUUAGAUACCCCUGUAGUC
rnacentral:rRNA from 1 species